rnacentral:lncRNA from 1 species
GAGCAAGGAUGCAUUUGAACAGCCUCCACCAGUUGCUUGGUUGUGAUUCCAAACAACGAUCUUGAGUUUCCACAGUAGCUUGCAGACUGCCAACCAUCUUGAGACAAGCAUGGUGUCAGUUGAGAUGAAACAGGUCAAUUCCUGGAGCAAGAAGUUACACCUUGCAUUGAGUAAAGUUUCAAUAUGAGAGGGCCAGCGAAGACUUUUCGAUAGUUAUGAAAGCUUCAAUACACCCUACUCUUUGACGCAGUUUAGUUCUGGCACAUUUGAUAGCAUUUGUUUAAAAGGAAACAAAAGGAAAAUAUUUUAAACCUUUUUUAUUUGAACUAUUUUUAUGUUUGCACUUUUUAAUCUGAAAUUAAUUCCAAAUAUAUUUUUCUAAUUUAGCCCACAUAAAAAUACUAUGGCCAAUAGGAAGAUAAAAGAAAUUUUAAAAUACAUUUUGAAGAACUCAUCUGAGCAAACUAUUUCAAAGCAUUUUUUAAGCACAGAUGGUAGGCUUGGACUACAGUGAAUCCAGCCUCAGUUGCUCACUCAUUAGUAUUACAAUGAAUUAUUAAAACGAAAUUGUAUUUUUUUUUUUUUUGGUUUUUGUUUUUCUUUUAUGAGGAUGAUUCACCCUGAGAUAACAUCCAUUGCCAAUCUUCCUCUUUUUGCUUAAGGAAAAUUGUCCCUGAGCUAACAUCUGGGCCAAUCUUCCCCUAUUUUGUAUAUGGGAUGCCACCACAGCACGGCUUGAUGAGCAGUGCAUAGGUCUGUGCCUGGGAUCCAAAUCUGUGAACCCUGGGCCACAGAAGCAGAGCACGUGAACCCACCUACUGUGCCACUAGGCUGGCCCCAAAACUAAAUUGUGUUUUGAAGAUAUUCUAUGUUGAAGCUGAAGCGCUCAACCCAAAAGAAUGGAAAAUCGAUGCCUAAUGUUCACAGCUCACUUUGUCCCCACCAAAGCUCUAAACAAGUUGCUUUUUGAAGCAAAGUCUUAUGACUGUAUAUUUGCAUGUAUGAUUUUUCUUCAAAACACCAUCAACAGAGACGUCAUUUGCAUCAGAAUCUAUGCUCUUUUGAUCCCUAGACAGAAGUUCUUACAGUUCUCCUUUGAAGCUUUCUCAAGUUUGGUAAGUCAGAAUGCUUUUAUAAGCCAACAUCAGACAGAAAAAUCCUUCCUGUUCCUGGCAGUUCCAUCAAGAAGAUUAUCCUCUCCUGCAAGACCAGCCAAAAAAAAAAUGAAUAUUUCAUUCUGCACAGUCUCAACAGAGUGA